rfam:Alpha proteobacterium AAP38 AAP38_Contigs_3, whole genome shotgun sequence.
CCAGACGGUCGGAUGGUCGCUCUCAUGCAAUGGGGAAACCCGCAUGGGGGAGGAAAGUCCGGGCUCCACGGAAGUACGGUGCCGGGUAACGCCCGGCGGGGGUGACCCCAGGGAAAGUGCCACAGAGAGCAGACCGCCGACGCCAGCAACCCCUUGGGAUUGCUGGAUUUCGGUAAGGGUGAAAGGGUGCGGUAAGAGCGCACCGCGACCCUGGCGACAGGGUUGGCAUGGUAAACCCCACCGGGAGCAAAACCGAAUAGGGACGGCACGGGCGGCAACGCCCAGGCGCACUUCCGCGCUGUCGUCCGGGUGGGUUGCGCGAGGUGUCCAGCAAUGGGCAUCCCAGAGGAAUGACCAUCCCCCGGAUACCAUCCACACGUGGGAUAUGGUCCGGUGGACAGAACCCGGCUUACAGACCGUCUGGCCCU